CGUUUGACCUCGGAUCAGGUAGGGAUACCCGCUGAACUUAA
rnacentral:rRNA from 1 species